UGAACUCAAUUGGCAGGUGACGGUAAGAAAAAGACUACCAUCUGCCCCUAUCAUAACCCCUUGAACCAUCAUGCAAGCCCUCUAGCUCUACAACAAGAAGGAAGCAAGGAAUUAGAAGAGUGGCAGAGCCAACUAUGCCUUUAAUGACCCUUCAUUCCAUCCCCCCUUGUUCUUUGCUAGCAUGCCCACCUGCUUACCCACGAACUUAUCAUCAUAUCCGAGAUGGGAAGCAGCUAAAACCCCGAGUCUCAGCAAUGCUCUGUAUAGCCAAAUAUCGAUGGAGCAGAUAACCGCGAGACCAUAGAUUUCAAGAAGCUUAGUCUCUCGCACGCAUUUUGUCGAACGGCUGCCGUGCUCAAUUAUUCCACCACUCCUUUCUUCUCCUUCUCUCCAUCCCGAGGACGCACACGGAGGACGGCGACAAUUGCAGAGGAGUUCACCGGAGAUCCGGCACGGUCGCUAGAAGUUGAUGCUGGCUGCAAUUAUCCACUGACGACUUCCAUUCCCACCGUAUCCCGGAUUCGAUGUCAACCUCCUGUCCCUCUCGCAUGGAGAAACCCAACGCUGUUCCGAAGCCGAACGAUCCCACUGCUCCAACAAACCCGGGAGGAAACACGGCCCGCGCCGCCGCCACCGCUGCCCGAGGCAGCAAGAAGAGAAAGCACGAGGAUGCCGAGUUCGCCAUUCCAACUACUUCGACAUGCGAUCUAUCGUCAAAGGCCGAGGUUCCAUGUGCUCCUGACUUUUCAAUUGCAAUGCAGCCAAUAAAAUUAGAAAAAUAUGGCAGAUGACUAGGAACUGCAUGGGGCGGCACUGUUUUUUGAUGGCGUUGCUUUGCCAAGCUACAGUUUUGCAUCCUAAUCCUCUUUUAAUCAAAAUUUUCCUGCCACUUACUAAAAGGAAAAUAAGAAAAGUAGAAAACACUUUGUUAAAUAUAACAAGUUGCCUCCUAUUCUGAUUUGUCAUAAAACUUUUGUCUUUGUGGUUCUUCAAUUUCUAAUUUCUUCUGAAGUUCUUGCAAAAAUUUGAUAUAUAGUCUUCUACUAAGAAAUUGCAAUAUUCAAGACAGCAAGUUGCUUCGAAAAAAAAAUGUAACAGAUCAAGAGCAGGAAGCAACGUGCUGUUUUGGUAAAAAUCUUCUACAGUUUUUCCUCUCCGAGUUGUUUCCCAUUCUAGUGUCUCCUGAUCUUCUUGCAGAAACUUGAUAUACUCUCUUUCUUCUUUCUUCAUAACCUGUAUAGCCCUUUUAUGCUGCCAGUAGUACUACUUGCUAACAUCAAGUCAGCGCCGCAUCACCGGUGCAACACUGCCUCACUGUCAAUUGUGGUCAGCAUGUCGAUCAUUAGAAACUUUUGCCACAUUGGUUUCAUGCAACUCUGUCGACUCUAUCAUCAUAUCUUAGUUCCAUGUCGAUGCAACCAACACACCUUAUCCUCAUGCCUAGUUACGCAUAGAUGGAGGUCAUUGUAGAGUUAAUGAACUGACAGAUGAGACAGCAUGUCCUGGGAAGCUCAAGUCCUUUAAUGUGGAACAACUGUAUUUGUCUGGGGCAAGUGAGAAGCAACCUCACCCGAAACCUCACAAGGAAAAAAACUCUUCAGCUUGGGCAAGUGAGAAGAAACAUCAGGAGAAGCUCCAAGAGGGAGCAUCAGAAAAACCUCAGGAACAACAGUCUUUGG